rnacentral:rRNA from 1 species
CCCUUAGAUGUCCGGGGCCGCACGCGCGCUACACUGAAGGAAUCAGCGUGGCUUUCUCCCUGACCCGAAAGGGUUGGGAAACCCGUUGAAUCUCCUUCGUGAUAGGGAUUGGGGCUUGAAAUUGUUCCCCAUGAACGAGGAAUUCCCAGUAAGCGCGAGUCAUAAGCUCGCGUUGAUUACGUCCCUGCCCUUUGUACACACCGCCCGUCGCUAUUACCGAUUGAACGGUUUAGUGAGGGCCUCGGAUUGGUCUCGGCCCGCUCUUUACCGGGCGGCGCCGUUGGUCGAGAAGACGCUCGAACUUGAUCGUUUAGAGGAAGUAAAAGUCGUAACA